rnacentral:rRNA from 1 species
UAGGGAAUCUUCCACAAUGGGCGCAAGCCUGAUGGAGCAACACCGCGUGAGUGAAGAAGGGUUUCGGCUCGUAAAGCUCUGUUGUUAAAGAAGGACGUGGGUAAGAGUAACUGUUUACCCAGUGACGGUAUUUAACCAGAAAGCCACGGCUAACUACGUGCUAG